rnacentral:rRNA from 1 species
AGGACGACGCUGGCGGCGUGCCUAAUACAUGCAAGUCGAACGGUCUUUCUAUGGAAGCUUGCUCCACUGAGAAGAUAGUGGCGAACGGGUGAGUAACACGUGGGUAACCUGCCCAUAAGAGGGGGAUAACAUCCGGAAACGGGUGCUAAUACCGCAUAGUUUUCUUGAUCGCAUGAUCGGGAAAGGAAAGACGGCCUUUGUGCUGUCGCUUAUGGAUGGACCCGCGGCGUAUUAGUUAGUUGGUGAGGUAACGGCUCACCAAGACGAUGAUACGUAGCCGACCUGAGAGGGUGAUCGGCCACAUUGGGACUGAGACACGGCCCAAACUCCUACGGGAGGCAGCAGUAGGGAAUCUUCCGCAAUGGACGAAAGUCUGACGGAGCAACGCCGCGUGAGUGAAGAAAAGGUUUUCGGAUCGUAAAACUCUGUUGUCAGAGAAGAACAAGUUGGAGAGUAACUGCUCCAGCCUUGACGGUAUCUGACCAGAAAGCCACGGCUAACUACGUGCCAGCCGCCGC